ACUGCAUUGGAAACUGUUGAGCUUGAGUCCCGGAGAGGUAAGCGGAAUUCCUGGUGUAGCGGUGAAAUGCGUAGAGAUUAGGAGGAACACCAGUGGCGAAGGCGGCUUACUGGACGGUAACUGACGUUGAGGCGCGAAAGCGUGGGGAGCAAA
rnacentral:rRNA from 1 species